rnacentral:misc_RNA from 1 species
GAAACGCACCUUGCGCCCCUUGGCAUUCCGAGGGGCACACCCGUUUGAGUGUCGUGAAACCCUCAAAAACCCUCUUCUUUGAGGAUUUUUGGACUUGGAGGUUCAAUGCUCGCUUUUGCAUUCGAAAGCGAGCUCCUCUCAAAAGAAUCAGUGGGGUCUGCUUUGCUUGUCCUUGACGUGAUAAGAUGUAUCUACGUUUUGGAUUUGACAUGGUCCCUGCUCCUAAUCGUCUCACGGACAAUGAUGGUGCUUCGGUCGCCGCCGCCUACCUUGGCGGGGGGGAGGCUGAGCCCACAAAAAUCUUGACCUCAAAUCGGGUGAGACUACCCGCUGAACUUAA